AAUUUCUUUAAGACCGAAAAAAGACAAAUAAAUAUAUAAAUGGAAAUUUUGUCCCCUUCUUCUCUCCUGCUACUUUGGAUCUCUCUCUGUCCUCUGAGGCCAGAUCUUCUGAACUGUAGAAUUCUACUUCUGCUACAACUUCAACUUUUUCUCGUUCUCUCUGCGACGCUUUUUGUUGCUGAAUUUGAAGUUGGAGCUUCAAUCUGGGUUUUCUUUUGGUUAGCGAGGGAAGUGGAAGACCCAGGAGGUUGCUUUCUGUUUGAUCUGUUCCUAGAAAGAAGGAAGGAACAACGAAAAACAAGAUGCAGCAAAAUCAGCCCAAACAAGUUUUUUUUUUUUUUUAUCUUUCUUCGAUUUCAUGAUUGUUGUUCUGAGUUUUUUACGAUGCUUUGAACUAACAUGGAGCUGGGAGAUUUGAAGAAAAUUGAUAAUUGGAAACUGGGGUGGCUGAAAAAGGAUGAUAAAUAAUUUCAUUUUUUAUAAAAGGAUAAUAAAUCCAAGGGUUAAUUAAACCCUUAAUUUGCUUUACGUUUACAUACUUGUAUUUUUGUUGGUGUUAGUUUUUAUGUGAUUGCAGUUAUGAUUUAUGAACAAGCAUCACUGUUGUUGACAUUUGUUGAUUAAUGGUGGAUGUUGUUCAGUUUCCAUUGAUUGUCUUGUGCCUUUGAUCAUUUCGUUUUUGUAUUCGUUAAAAUUUUCACAUAUUAUUGGAGUCCAAUUGAGUGUAUUUUUAUAUACUUUUUUGAAAGAAUUGUUCACCAGAUUUUAUUAGUUCAAUUGGAGUCCAACUGCCUUGUGCCUCGCUCUGUAAAGCUGAAACUGAAAGAUUAGUUAAUCUUUUAUCCUCAUUCCUAGUUUGAUUUGGUUCUUUAUAUAUGUUUUGUUUUCCAGUUGAUUGCGGUUAUUUUCCUUUUGUAAUAAGAUGUAUAGAACAGAACAUUUUGAAGAGGUAGAUUUUUUCAUUGAGUACAGCGAUGCCAAUAGAUAUAAAAUUCUUGAAGUAAUUGGGAAGGGUAGCUAUGGAGUUGUAUGUGCAGCAAUUGACACGCACACAGGGGGAAUGGUUGUAAUAAAAAAGAUUCAUAAUGCUUUUGAACAUAUUUCUGAUGCUAUUAGAAUCCUCCGGGAAGUCAAGUUGCUAAGACUAUUAAGGCACCCUGAUAUUGUUGAGAUUAAGCGGAUCAUCUUGCCACCUUCAAGGAGGGAGUUUAAAGAUAUUUAUGUAGUCUUUGAGCUUAUGGAAUAUGAUCUCCAUCAAGUCAUCAAAGCUAAUGACGACUUGAUUCGUGAACACAAUCAGUUUUUUCUUUAUCAGAUACUGCGUGCAUUGAAGUUCAUGCAUACAGGUCAUAUAUCUUUCAUUUUUUGCCUUUAUAAUUUCUCUCGCUGCAUUAUUACCAUAUAUCCAUAAAAUAUGGCACCAAAUUGCUUCUAAAUGAUCUCAUGAUGGGGUGAUUCUCCUGAAAAUUUAAAUCUGGAGCUGAAAAUCUUACCACAUUUUUUCGUUUGAGUGGAAGCUAGAUUUGUGGAGCAUGUUCAUGCUGGAUGUUAGACACAUACUAUUAAAGUCAAGUAAUUGUCGAUGAAGGAAAAUUAAGUAAAAUCAUUCUGGUAGAAGUUUAUUAUUAAAGUAUUAAACCAUUCAUGUAUACACCAAGCAGCUUAAGCUUUUGGAAUGAUUGGUUCAUGACAUGGUAUGGAGUCCGAUCCUUGUUACCCCAUUAUUUGGAUAAAAGAAAGAUAAACUUCGGCACAAGGUAGGUGGAACACGACAUUGUAUAAGAGCAUAUUGGUCAUCCAGACAAAGCUUGCACCAUGGCUGGCCAACAGAUUGAGGCCAAUAGGCUCUUGUGUGACAGGCGCUAGAAAAAUAAUAUAAAACCAUUUUUUUGUCUUCGCCCAACAGCUUCAACUUUUUGGAUAGUUGGUUGAUUGGUUCAUGACACUUCCCAAUUAAACUGUUUUUUGGACCGUAGACCUGUAGGUAGGAACAUGGAGGAAAUAAGAAGCAGCUAUGCAUUGAAUGAUUUGAAAGUUCAAACCAUUUUAUGUCAGCAAUGUGGUAUAUUUUCAGUUUUUAAUCAAUUUCUUUCCACUAAUUUAGAAAGUAAAUUGUGUUCAUCCCUGAAAGGGAAAUGGGAAAUGCAUUUUCCUUUCAUUACUUCUAGAGAUACUGCACUUAUUUCUGCAUGAAAUGCUUUCUGUGUGAUUUAUAGUAAACAGUAAUGCCUAGAUUAUAAUAAUUCUUGUUUAGGGAGGAAUAUUGAUCUCUCCUGGAAGUUGAAUUUAUCUGUCCUUCAGCAAUUGAUAUAUGGAGCAUUGGAUGCAUAUUUGCAGAGGUCCUGACAGGAAAGCCAUUGUUUCCUGGUAAAAGUGUUGUGCAUCAAUUAGAUUUGAUUACUGAUCUUCUUGGGAGACCAUCACCUGAAGUUAUUGCAGGAGUUCGAAAUGAGAAGGCAAGGAAGUACUUGACGGAAAUGCGGAAAAAAGCUGUUGUGCCAUUUGAACAAAAAAUUCCAAUUGCUGAUCCACUGGCACUUCGCAUUUGAUCCAAAGGAUCAGCCAACUGCUAAGGAGGUCCGCUGUUCAUUCUGCUACAAUUGCGCCUAGUACACAACAAUCAUUCACUCCAGAUGUGAACAAACAAAUCUCAGAAAAGGCACCCAAGUUUCCAAGGGUUGUAGAAUCAAGGGGUUUACGACCUCCACCAAAGGUGCCGACAGCCAAUCCAUGUAGAGUUGUUGGGCCGGUUCACUAUAACAAUGGUAGAAGCGCAUAAAAGACACUUAUGACCCAAGAAUCUUCUACGGGAAUACUCUUCCUUAAGCAGGCUCUCCACACUGUUUCCACAGGGUGCACCCCACUAUCGGAAAAACUACAUCAGAAACAUAUGUAAAGUUGAUUGUAUACAUCAUUUAUUAAUUAAUAAAAAGAAAAGUUGAUUGUUUCUCUC